rnacentral:snRNA from 1 species
GUGCUCUCUUUGGUGGCACAUGUACUAAAAUUGGAACCAUACAGAGAAGAUUAGCAUGGCUCCCGCCCAAGGAUGACAGGCAAAUUCAUGAAGCAUUCUAUAUUUUU